GGGGAUUUAGCUCAGAGGUUUAAGCACCUGCCUGGAAAGCAUGAAGUCGUGAGUUCGAUCCCCA
rnacentral:tRNA from 1 species